CUGAUCGAAUCGCUGCUCUGGCAUCUCAAACACUUGCCACCGCUUCUACUUGGCCGUUCAGUGCGCUCAGUUCGACUUAGUAUCUCGAUUAGCGACCACCACGUCGGUGUGGCGGAUACCUGGUGUUCCUGCUGCAGGGCGUGACUGGAACGGGGAAUCCCCGAUUCCGGCAUUGGCAUUGGCACCGCGAGGGCUGAGGCUGAAACUGAGCCCGGCCGGAGGAGCGUCGUCAGGCUGAUCGCAACCAGAACCACUGUGCACCACCAACACAAUGUGCAGCGGGCCCCCGCGGCGCCACUGGCUGCAUGCGUGGGGGCCACAGCGUCGUCCGCCGCCGGCGAUCGGAUUGUUUACGCCGUGCUUUCGUCCGGAAAUGGCCCAAAUCGCAUGGUCAAUUGCGGUGCAAAUACCCGAUCAAUGUGCCGUGAUUAUAACUGCAAGAGAGAGAG
ensembl:ncRNA asRNA:CR43891 antisense RNA:CR43891